GGAUUAGGCAUGCAAGUCGAACGAGGGAGUAUUCCGAAAGGGGUACAAAUCGAGUGGCGUAAGGGUGAGUAAUGCAUUGAUAACCUGCCUUUGAGAUGGGAACAACAGCGUUCCAAGCAAUUGGAGCUACCGAAAGGGCUGCUAAUACCCAAUAAAACUAUUAUUGCUUCGGCGAUGAUAGUCAAACAUGCGGAAUCGAAAGGUUCCAUUUGCUCAAAGAGGGGUCAAUGUCCUAUCAGCUUGUUGGUGGGGUAACGGCCUACCAAGGCGAAGACGGGUAGCCGGCCUGAGAGGGUGGUCGGCCACAUUGGGACUGAGACACUGCCCAGACUCCUACGGGAGGCUGCAGUCGAGAAUCUUUCGCAAUGCCCGAAAGGGUGACGAAGCGACGCCGCGUGUGGGAAGAAGGCCUUCGGGUUGUAAACCACUGUCGGGAGUUAAGAAGUGUAGGGGUGUUAAGAGCAUCCUUACUUGACGUUAGCUCCGGAGGAAGCCACGGCUAACUCUGUGCCAGCAGCCGCGGUAAUACAGAGGUGGCAAGCGUUGUUCGGAAUUAUUGGGCGUAAAGAGCACGUAGGCGGGCCCUGCAAGUCAGCUGUGAAAUCCUUCUGCUCAACGGAAGAACGGCAGUUUGAUACUAUAGGGCUUGGAGUGCGGGAGGGGAGAGUGGAACUUCUGGUGGAGCGGUGAAAUGCGUAGAUAUCAGAAGGAACAUCGGCGGCGAAAGCGACUCUCUGGCCCGUAAUUGACGCUGAGGUGCGAAAGCUAGGGGAGCAAACGGGAUUAGAUACCCCGGUAGUCCUAGCCGUAAACGAUGGGCACUAAGUAGAGGGGUUUU
rnacentral:rRNA from 1 species